rnacentral:tRNA from 1 species
UGCUCAGUAGCUCAGCGGUAGAGCAGGUGACUGUUAAUCACUUGGUCGUAGGUUCGAUCCCUACCUGAGCAGCCA